GCAGAUGUGACCAAGAGUUUUCAGAAAGGUGAGAUUCUGAGGGGUUUUAUUCUUUCAUUCCUCUGGCCGGAGAAAGCUCAGAUGACGAGGGUUUCAUGAACGGUGCGGUCUGGCUCGGAGCGUCUUCUGAGUCUUGGUUCAGGGAUCCAGAUGGAACCAGCGUGAACCUGCGGGCCGCAGCGAGUGUCUCUGGAGGGAAAAUGUUCCACUGAUUUUCGUUCCUGCAACCUCAAA